GACGAACGCUGGCGGCGUGCUUAACACAUGCAAGUCGAGCGGUAAGGCCCUUUCGGGGGUACACGAGCGGCGAACGGGUGAGUAACACGUGGGUGACCUGCCCUCAGCUCUGGGAUAAGCCUGGGAAACCGGGUCUAAUACUGGAUAUGACUCCAUGACGCAUGUUGUGGGGUGGAAAGCCUUGUGCGGCUGAGGAUGGGCCCGCGGCCUAUCAGCUUGUUGGUGGGGUGAGGGCCUACCAAGGCGACGACGGGUAGCCGGCCUGAGAGGGCGACCGGCCACACUGGGACUGAGACACGGCCCAGACUCCGUACGGGAGGCAGCAGUGGGGAAUCUUGCGCAAGU
rnacentral:rRNA from 1 species